GCCGGGCGUGGUGGCGGGCGCCUGUAGUCCCAGCUACUCGGAGACUGAGGCAGGAGAAUGGCGUGAACCUGGGAGGCGGAGCUUGCAGUGAGCCGAGAUCGCGCCACUGCACUCCAGCCUGGGUGACACAGCGCGAGACUCCGUCUCAAAAAAAAAAAAAAAAAAAAAAGACUGAGUCUUGCUCUUGUCGCCCAGGCUGCAGUGCAAUGAUGCGAUUUUGGCUCACUGCAACCUCCACCUCCUGGGCUCAAGCGAUUCCCCUGCCUCAG
rnacentral:SRP_RNA from 1 species